rnacentral:rRNA from 1 species
UACGUAGGGUGCAAGCGUUAAUCGGAAUUACUGGGCGUAAAGCGUGCGCAGGCGGUGAUGUAAGACAGAUGUGAAAUCCCCGGGCUCAACCUGGGAACUGCAUUUGUGACUGCAUCGCUGGAGUGCGGCAGAGGGGGAUGGAAUUCCGCGUGUAGCAGUGAAAUGCGUAGAUAUGCGGAGGAACACCGAUGGCGAAGGCAAUCCCCUGGGCCUGCACUGACGCUCAUGCACGAAAGCGUGGGGAGCAAA